rnacentral:rRNA from 1 species
AGUGAACGCUGGCGGCGUGCCUAAUACAUGCAAGUCGAACGGAGUGGCGCACGGGUGAGUAAUGUAUAGCUAAUCUGCCCUACACUAGAGGACAAAAGAUGGAAUCGGCUGCCAAUACUCUAUAGUAUAGGUUGAGGAUAUAUUGUAUCAGCUAGUUGGUGAGGUAAUGGCUCACCAAGCCUAUGACGCAUAACUGGUCUGAGAGGAUUAUCAGUAACACUGGAACGGAGACACGGGCCGGACUCCUACGGAAGGCAGCCGUAGGGAAUAUUGCUCAAUGGGGGAAACCCUUAAGCAGCAUCGCCGCGUGGAGGAUGACACUUUUCGGAGCGUAAACUCCUUUUGUUAGGGCAGCGGUACCUAACGAAUAAGCACCGGCUAACUCCGUGCCAGCAGCCGCGGUAAUUC